rnacentral:pre_miRNA from 1 species
UUAGUACUCCCUCCGUUCCAAAUUACUCGUCACAGAAAUGAAUGUAUCUAGAACUAAAAUACAUCUAGAUACAUUCAUUUCUGCGACGAGUAAUUCGGAACGGAGGGAGUAUACU